GAGGAGUUGGAUGUGUUUUAAGGGGCUUGCUGGUCUGACUGAAAUAAGUCAGCCUUGCUCUGGGUACUUGUAGGUCUCACAAUGCCUGAACAACAAAUAUUCCAGGAAUAAUUUAUGUCUGCAUGUCCUUCAGUGCUGUGAGGCUUCUGUGCUCAUUAUGCUGCUCCUUCCCUGGGUGAAAUGUUUGGCUGCUGGUUCCAGUGGUGGCCAGAGCUGUGCUGUGCACUCCCAAGGGAGGCUUUUAGUGGAGGACCCUUGGAGCAGCUGUAAAACUUUAUGGGGAAGAUUGUUUUGUCUUUUCUUCAGCUGGGGCCCCCAGAGGUAAAUUUUAUACACUGAAUAAACAGGAUCUUGGAGCACUCCAUAGCCCAGUCUGCUGCAUUGUGCAAUAUCCAGAGGAAUAAUCUCUACAACCUUGGAAUGAGUCUAAGUUGUUGCUCCAAGUCCAGGAUUUCAAGAGCCACCAGUACCAGCUCAGCCCCUGCACCUCUCUUGAUCCCCUGGAACUUAAUCUUUAGCUUCUCAGUGCCACUCAAUGCAUCCAGCCUGAUUACCUCAAGAACUGCCCUGUUUUCCUGGGGUAAAUUGAAUAGGAAAGGCUUUCCAAACAAGAAAAAAUAUGUACAUGAUUUGGAGUGGGAUAAUGAAAACCUCUAGGUGGUGAGAUAAUCCAGAGUUUUGUAACUUAAUGUUAAGGAUUCCCUUAAAAUUGGGUCACAAAGGUAAGUGUGGCAAACUGAAGACCUUAGACAAGAGCAGGGAUUUAAUCACCAGGCUUCACACACUCCUAAAUCCAAAAGGUGACAGCCUGGACAACCUCCACAAAGACAUCUGUGUUUUCUGUCUCAAGGAUUCAAAGGUUGUGUGGGCAUUCACUACAGGUAAGAAAUAAUGCAAGGGCCAAGGAUCAGUGACCAACACAGGAGAAAACAAUAUCAUCACCAUGGGAAAAAGUGAGUGAAAUAUAAACUAGGAGAACAGGGACAAUCUAUGCUGAAAACGAAAAACUGAUGAAGAAAGAAACUAAACUAGCAGCUUGAAAAUUGUCAGCAGAGUAAGAGAAAAUACCAAAACCAAUUUCUACAACUAGAGAGAAGGGUCUGUCUGCUUUGAUGUGCUCCCUAUAGCUCAGUUCCCAGGAGGGUGGGAGGAAGCUGAUGGGGGAUAGCUCUCUCAAAAAUAGGUUUGUUUUCCUCUGUGGAAAACAUGGAGCUUUUUUUCCAAAACCAAAAUAUUUUUUGCAAUUAAAAGAGACAAAAUAUUUCCAGUGUACUUUCAGUGGAAAAAAUCUGGCAGGUUUGAGAUAAAUUUUUGUUAAGAAAAGUCAUACAAAAAUGUUUUCAAAAAAUAUUGACAGAGAUCCUCUGGGAGCUGAGCUACUGACAGAGUAAAUAUGAGAAGGGAGCACAGCUUUCAAGGAGAAACAGCACCAAAGGUCAUUUUCCUGGUGCCAAUCUCCCUGAUAUCAUCCCAGCCAACCACCUGAACCAGGCUUUCCUUGGUUACCACUAGAAGUUUAUAGUCUGGAGUAAACUUAUUUACUGAGCUCUUGUCUGUGUUUUCUACACCGGUGUUUUCUGGUUUGGACAUAUUUCCAUUGCAUGAACAUUUUAUUUCCCAUUUUUACCAGCAUGCUGUGUGCAGUUUGGCUUAGGGAAACUUGUUUUUUCAAUAAAACAUCUAUAGAAUG